rnacentral:rRNA from 1 species
CCCUUAGAUGUUCUGGGCCGCACGCGCGCUACACUGUUCGACGCAGCGAGUCUUAACCUUGACCGAAAGGUUUGGGUAAUCUUCAGCAAAGUCGAACGUGAUGGGGAUCGAUCAUUGCAAUUAUUGAUCGUGAACGAGGAAUUCCUAGUAAGUGCAAGUCAUCAGCUUGCGCUGAUUACGUCCCUGCCCUUUGUACACACCGCCCGUCGCUACUACCGAUUGAAUGGUUUAGUGAGAUCUCUGGAUUGACGCUGGCUAGGGGGCGACCCUUGGCCAGACUGUUGAGAAACUGCUCAAACUUGAUCAUUUAGAGGAAGUAAAAGUCGUAAUA